CGUUACUGGUCGAAAGAUGUGCUUGAUUGUAGAGGAGAAGAAUCUAUACAUACACAAAUGAGUCUCUGGCGACUACUGGCUUAUGGUACCCUGCAUAUUGAAUUUGGUGUUUAACAACAAAAAGUGCAUGCAUUUGAAGAUGGUUUGUGGAAAAUUGAACACAGCUGCAAAAUUAAGCACAUCAUGAAACUAGAAGACUCAAAAUAGAAAAUCUUAGUCUCAGUGGAAAAGAAACAUACGUUCAGAGAAUCAGCAACAGAGCAGGAGUUAAUUUUUUUACUGUAAUGUAGCCCAUAGAAAUUACUUUUGCUAUAUUAAUGGAAUACAAUGAAACCUGGGUACUUCUUGCCUCACGAGAAAGUAUGCAACUGUUGGUCAAACUUUUCAGAUUUGGACCGAAUGUGUAUCCCUUCAGGUGCAACCAUGUUCUUCUGUCUAUAAUACUUCAUGGUCCAUUUGCUGGUCAAUGACCGAAUAAACUUAUCUAUCUAU